CGUUCCCCCGCCGGCACCUGGCGGAGUGUGGAAGCGUCGACGGGCGGAAAGCGAACGUACUCAGGAAUCAUUUGCAGUGUAAGACAAACAGAAUCAAACAAAAGUGGCAGAGCUUUCCCUUAAAUCGUGACCUGUGGCUGAACGGCUGGCCUGGGAUCAGCCCGAAGCUACAACUCAGCGUGGUGCUCUGCUGACAAACACCUGUUCGAUUUAGUAAGGACUAUGGCCCAUGUUUAAGAGUGUAAAAAGGACAGAGCCAUCAAAGCGCAGAGUUUUCUUUUUUUUAAAUCAAAUUUGAGGAAAACUAUGUAAGUAUUAACGGACACAAUGGGAGCUCAAAUCUUCUGCAUUAUUUUGGGGAAUUUUGAAGGUUUUUUGAACUGA